AUCGUAACUAAUAUCAAAGUAACUGUGUGAAAUUGUGAUUGCCCUGUAGUUACUAAUUCCCAAAUUUACAAAACUGCAAUCAUAAUGGGGUUCAGAUGGAUUGUAUGCAACCAGGCCUGAUUACUGCCAGCCGUGUUCAAUUACGUCAACACUUGUAAAGAACAUUUCAACAGCAUGAAGUUGGUUUAAAGGUCAUACCCAGUAGAGGAUAACCUCACAGAAUUCUUUUAAGAGCAGAGCAACGACUCAUCCAGGAAGUCACAAAAGACCCACGCACAACAUAGUAGGAACGGCAGGCCUCUCUCGCAUCAGAUGGCAUCCAUGAUUUCCCAUCCCCCCAACUGUCACUCAGGACCAGAAGAAAGGUGUUCCGUGAUUGGCCAGCUAUCCAGUGCCUUUUGAUUGGCUAAAUACCUCAAGCAUGGGACAGAAAUGUUACACCUCUUGACAUAUUGUGAAGCCUUGUCCGGCCGGAGCAACGAGGCCAAAAUGCAAAACCAAUUAUAAAUGCGAUGUAAACAUGAUUUCUAGUCGUGUUUUCUUUUGGAAGGAUAAAAGACAGUAG
rnacentral:lncRNA from 1 species